UGCAAAUAAGUAGUGAUUUCAAUUAACAUGAUUAAUAGUCAAUGUUUCCAUUGUUACCUCACUGUCAAUAUACAAUUACCUUCACUUAAUCAAUCAAAGGAUACCAAUCAGCCAAAGAAGAGAACCAUUACAUUGGUACUUUUACAUAUAUCUAAAACAGAAACAGACAUAUUAUUAUUAUGAUUAUUUAGAUGAUACCUAACAUUCAGCUUAAGUAUUUUUUAUUGUCAAAAUGAAUUGGAAAUCAUUGUAUUUCAUAAAUUAAUUCCCUUUAUUUCAUAUUUUUAGCAUUAAUCAGUUCCAAACGAAAAAGAUUUUGCGAGGAAAAUUUACAUACAGAUUCUGAACGAAAGAAAUGCAGAAAACAACUUUUUAAGACCAGCGAGAGGGAAAAAAAUGUUGAUCAGAGCAGUCGUAUAGCCAAGAGGUAUGGAACUGAUGACUUGGUCCAAAUGUUGUUUGGAAAAUGUAAAGAGGUGG